AGGGUUUGAUCAUGGCUCAGAUUGAACGCUGGCGGUAGGCUUAACACAUGCAAGUCGUGCGAGAAAGUAUCUUCGGAUAUGAGUAGAGCGGCGGACGGGUGAGUAACGCGUAGGAAUCUACCUAGUAGAAGGGGAUAGCCCGAGGAAACUCGGAUUAAUACCGUAUACCUCCUUAGGGAGAAAGAGGGCCUCUCUUGAUGCUCUCGCUAUUAGAUGAGCCUGCGUAAGAUUAGCUUGUUGGUGAGGUAAUGGCUCACCAAGGCUACGAUCUUUAGCUGGUCUGAGAGGACGAUCAGCCACAUUGGGACUGAGACACGGCCCAGACUCCUACGGGAGGCAGCAGUGGGGAAUAUUGGACAAUGGGCCGCAAGCCUGAUCCAGCCAUACCGCGUGUGUGAAGAAGGCCUUCGGGUUGUAAAGCACUUUAAGCAGGGAGAAAAAGUUAUAAGUUAAUACCUUAUAACCGUGAUGUUACCUGCAGAAUAAGCACCGGCUAAUUCCGUGCCAGCAGCCGCGGUAAUACGGAAGGUGCAAGCGUUAAUCUCGGAAUUACUGGGCGUAAAGCGCGCGUAGGUGGUUUGUUAAGUUGGAUGUGAAAGCCUGGGCUC
rnacentral:rRNA from 1 species